UACAGAGGUCCCAAGCGUUGUUCGGAUUCACUGGGCGUAAAGGGUGCGUAGGUGGUGAGGUAAGUCGGAUGUGAAAUCUCCAAGCUCAACUUGGAAACUGCAUUGGAAACUACCUUGCUAGAGGAUUUGAGGGGGGAUUGGAAUACUUGGUGUAGCAGUGAAAUGCGUAGAGAUCCGGAGGAACACCAGUGGCGAAGGCGACACGCUGGGCCGUACCUGACACUGAUGCGCGACAGCAUGGGGAGCAAACAGG
rnacentral:rRNA from 1 species